rnacentral:rRNA from 1 species
UGGGGGAAUUUUGGACAAUGGGCGAAAGCCUGAUCCAGCAAUGCCGCGUGUGUGAAGAAGGCCUUCGGGUUGUAAAGCACUUUUGUCCGGGAAAGAAAUCCUUGGCUCUAAUACAGUCGGGGGAUGACGGUACCGGAAGAAUAAGCACCGGCUAACUACGUGCCAGCAGCCGCGGUAAUACGUAGGGUGCAAGCGUUAAUCGGAAUUACUGGGCGUAAGCGUGCGCAGGCGGUUUGCUAAGACCGAUGUGAAAUCCCCGGGCUCAACCUGGGAACUGCAUUGGUGACUGGCAGGCUAGAGUAUGGCAGAGGGGGGUAGAAUUCCACGUGUAGCAGUGAAAUGCGUAGAGAUGUGGAGGAAUACCGAUGGCGAAGGCAGCCCCCUGGGCCAAUACUGACGCUCAUGCACGAAAGCCGUGGGGGAGCAAACAGGAUUAGAUACCCUGGUAGUCCACGCCCUAAAGCGAUGUCAACUAGUUGUUGGGGAUUCAUUUCCUUAGUAACGUAGCUAACGCGUGAAGUUGACCGCCUGGGGAGUACGGUCGCAAGAUU